rnacentral:other from 1 species
AAAGGUCUGCUGUGUUUGCGAGGAUUAUAAAAAAUUUUGACCAACACAUAUUGAAAGGGAGCCUGGUCUCUGUCUGCGGCAUAUAAGCCUUUAGAAGGACAUAUAAACCAGAUAGGAGGGCACCCACCUUGCGGAAAGGGAUCAAAAUUAAAUGAUUCCAGCGGCAGAGCGGACAUUUU